CCUCACAACAUCAACAGCUCAGAGAAGCAGAUCUGUGUGCUACAUGAAGAGGAAAAGGGGCUCUUCUGUGAGGCAGAGGAGAGACUCCUCUGUGGGCCCUGCUCUGAGUCACAAGAGCAUGAGGCUUAUGGCCACAGCCCAAUAGGAUGGGCUGCUGAGGAGUGCAGGGAGAAACUUCUGAAGAAAAUGGAUCAUUUAUGGAGGAGCACUCAAGAAAUGCAAAACAAUCUAAAUCAGGAAAUUAGCAAAAUCCAUUCAUUAACGGACUAUGUGGCCCCCAGGAAAGGGAUGAUCAGAUAACAAUAUCAGAAGUUGCGCCAAUUUCUCCUGGAGGAGGAGCAACGCCAUCUGGAGACAAUGGACAGAGAAGCAGAAGAGAUUGUUCGACAACUCCAAGACGGUGAAGACUUGGAAAACAUACUGGAAUGGACAGAUUUGGUGCAAAUGGAAAAGCCCCAGCCAGUGAACCCAGAACUCACUUCCUGGCACAUCACCGGAGUGCUAGAUAUGCUCAACAAAUUCAGAGUGGAUGAUCCUCUGAGUAAGGAAAAGACGAGUCACUAUAUGAGCCUUUCUGAGGAUGUG